rnacentral:rRNA from 1 species
GACGGAGGAUGCAAGUGUUAUCCGGAAUCACUGGGCGUAAAGCGUCUGUAGGUGGUCAAAUAAGUCAACUGUUAAAUCUUGAGGCUCAACCUCAAAAUCGCAGUCGAAACUAUUCGACUAGAGUAUAGUAGGGGUAAAGGGAAUUUCCAGUGGAGCGGUGAAAUGCGUAGAGAUUGAAAAGAACACCGAUGGCGAAGGCACUUUACUGGGCUAUUACUAACACUGAGAGACGAAAGCUAGGGUAGCAAAUGGG